AGCAGUCACUGGGAUCUGGGGGAGCUGGAAUCCAUCCAGUGAGGGACAAAACAGGAUUUUAAGACCUUAGUCCUUCUAAAAUUGCCACGUGUGGUUACAUCAGGUGUCUCUGCCUGCUUGGAAGCUUAAGCACAGGCUCGGUACUGAUGCAACUAAUUCCUGUCCUGGCUGGGUUCAUUGUUCCAAGAUGGAGUUUUUCUGCUGGAGAUGGAAGCCGACAAGAAAUGUUCCUGUGACUUUCUCCCUGAGCCAGCAGGCUGCCCAGCCCUGCACCCAGCUGUCAUGUGUAGGGUGGAAAAUGUGCCUCUGACCUGCUGUGUGAUCUGUCCACCUUUACUUCUGCGGUGCCAAACCAUCCUCUCACACCCCUCCUGCCUUCUCUGCUUCAUCCCCAUCUCCAGUCUAUUUGCCAGACCUUUGCUCUUCCUUGGAGAAUUGAUGCUAAUCCUCCAUACAAUUUCACCAGCAUUUGAAGGGCCUUGACACUUCUUAUUCCACUAAUCUAGAGAGGAGGAUUCUGGAGAUGGCUUCAUAUAUCCCCCUUCUGCCCCCAGCCCUGCAUGACCUUGGCUUUAUCUCCACAAAUCGUCUCACUGAGGAAGCGGACAAGUAAGCCUCCAUCCAAGUAAACUUCUUA